UGAGGUGUGCAUGGUGACUUUCCCACUGU
rnacentral:piRNA from 1 species